UCAAACUUGGUCAUUUAGAGGAAGUAAAAGUCGUAACAAGGUUUCCGUAGGUGAACCUGCGGAAGGAUCAUUGAUGAACUUCAAGGCGUCGCCCCGUGCUGUGCUGGCCCCUCGGGGCAUGUGCACGCCGGGGAGGUGCCCAUCUCACACACACACCUGUGCACCUCGAGGGGGCGAGCACACGCGGGUUUGCCGGCUUCGGUCGGCUCUCCCGGCUCGCCCCUUCUACUCUUUACAGACACCUGUUGUAUGUCUGGCACGUGCUUGAUUGUAAUUGAAUACAACUUUCAACAACGGAUCUCUUGGCUCUCGCAUCGAUGAAGAACGCAGC
rnacentral:misc_RNA from 1 species